GGCUGGUCCAAUGGUAGUGGGUUAUCAAAACUUAUUAAUGUUAGUGUCACUAAAGUUGAUAUACAGCCCCCCACUGCUAAAUUUGACUGGCUUUAA
rnacentral:Y_RNA from 1 species